GCAAACUUGGUCAUUUAGAGGAAGUAAAAGUCGUAACAAGGUCUCCGUUGGUGAACCAGCGGAGGGAUCAUUACCGAGCUUUCUUUUGCUCAUAACCCCUGUGAACCAUCUUUUGUUGCUUCGGCAGACCGAUCUCUUUAUUAGUAGAGGUAAUACUCUACGGUUUAGAGGUCCUUGUGUGUCUGCCGAAGGGCCGAUAGGCACUUUUUACAGUUUUAGUGGAUUUUACUUGCAAGCAAAUAAAUCAAAUUACAACUUUCAGCAAUGGAUCUCUUGGCUCUGGCAUCGAUGAAGAACGCAGC
rnacentral:misc_RNA from 1 species